GGCUGACUGCAAUCAGUGCAUUACUCGAUGACUCCAAGACAUCAAGUAAGUCGAGGGUCACAUAGGAAACUCAUAAAUAUGGAGAAGGUGUCUUCCACUGGUCUUCACUGGCUUCCACUGGUCUCCACUGACCUCCACUGACCUCCACUGGUCUGCACUGGCCUCCACUGACCUCCACUGACCUCCACUGGUCUGCACUGGCCUCCACUGACCUCCACUGGUCUCCACUGGCUUCCACUGGUCUCCACGGGCCUCCACUGGUCUCCACUGGCCUCCACUGACCUCCACUGGCUUCCACUGACUUCCACUGGUCUCCACGGGUCUCCACUGACCUCCACUGGUCUCUACUGGUCUCCACUGACCUCCACUGGCCUCCACUGGCCUCCACUGGUCUCUACUGGUCUCCACUGACCUCCACUGACCUCCACUGGUCUCUACUGGUCUCCACUGACCUCCACUGGCCUCCACUGGUCUCCGAACUUUGCACAGAUGAUGUAGUCUGGAUACAAUCUCAGACAUCACCUCCAGACUCGUAGAAAGGCAUCUACUGGGGGAUGGAGGGGACCGGCAAAGAGCAACGUGAAGGAGGUGUUGAACACAGAGGAGG
ensembl:lncRNA